rnacentral:rRNA from 1 species
GACGUAGGGCGCAAGCGUUGUCCGGAUUUAUUGGGCGUAAAGAGCUCGUAGGCGGUUUGGUAAGUUGGAUGUGAAAUCUCCAGGCUCAACUUGGAGGGGUCAUUCGAUACUGCCAUGACUAGAGUUCGGUAGGGGAGUGUGGAAUUCCUGGUGGAGCGGUGAAAUGCGCAGAUAUCAGGAGGGACACCCGUAGCGAAGGCGGCACUCUGGGCCGGAACUGACGCUGAGGAGCGAAAGCGUGGGGAGCGAACAGG